rnacentral:lncRNA from 1 species
UCAUCUGAACUGUUGUUAUCGGAACAGCUCCUAGAAGCAGCACUAUCAUUCUCUUGAUGUUUCUCAUCCGAGUUCUUAACCCCAUCAGCUGUUUGACUACAAUGCAUGCUGAUUGCAGCUUUCUUAUUUGGUAGCACUGACUGGCUUACAGUCGUACAAAAAGCAGCAAAAACACUUUCUUUUGGCUUCGAGUUUUUACCCAACCGUUGCCUCUUUGUUAGCUCAGGCUCCCUAUCCUUUGAAGCCAAUUUCCUCUUCAAUCUAAGGGACUCCAUUGUACCUUCUUCUU